GAUGAACGCUGGCGGCGUGCCUAAUACAUGCAAGUCGAGCGAACAGACGAGGAGCUUGCUCCUCUGACGUUUGCGGCGGACGGGUGAGUAACACGUGUAUAACCUACCUAUAAGACUGGGAUCACUUCGAGACACCGGAGCUAAUACCGGAUAAUCUCUUGAACCGCAUGGUUCAAUAGUGAAAGACGGUUUUGCUGUCACUUAUAGAUGGAUCCGCGCCGCAUUAGCUAGUUGGUAAGGUAACGGCUUACCAAGGCUACGAUGCGUAGCCGACCUGAGAGGGUGAUAGGCCACCCUGGAACUGAGCCACGGUCCAGACUCCUACGGGAGGCAGCAGUAGGGAAUCGUCCGCAAUGGGCGAAAGCCUGACGGAGCAACGCCGCGUGUGUGAUGAAGGUCUUCGGAUCGUAAAACUCUGUUAUUAGGGAAGAACAAAUGUGUAAGUAACUAUGCACGUCUUGACGGUACCUAAUCAGAAAGCCACGGCUAACUACGUG
rnacentral:rRNA from 1 species